rnacentral:tRNA from 1 species
AGCGGGGUGGGGAAGCUUGGAGUUCCCGGCGGGCUCAUAACCCGCAGCUCGCACGUUCAAAUCGUGCCCCCGCUA